rnacentral:rRNA from 1 species
GACGAACCGUGCGAACGUUGUUCGGAAUCACUGGGCAUAAAGGGCGCGUAGGCGGCUUAUCAAGUCAGGGGUGAAAUCCGGCAGCUCAACUGUCGAAGUGCCUUUGAUACUGAUGAGCUCGAGGGAGGUAGGGGUAUGCGGAACUUCCGGUGGAGCGGUGAAAUGCGUUGAUAUCGGAAGGAACGCCGGUGGCGAAAGCGGCGUACUGGACCUCUUCUGACGCUGAGGCGCGAAAGCUAGGGGAGCAAACGGG